rnacentral:lncRNA from 1 species
UUUUGUCAAAACUACUCACGUCAGCUCAUGACAUUAAUGCAACCGUUGUGGAUCUUCGGAUCACUGGUUCAAGAUUGUCAAGCUCCUUUAAAUUGUGAAUGCAUACAAAAAGGUAUGGAAAAUCAAUAUGAGGACAAGAACGUCAUCCUCAUGAUCGCGAAUAUCAAAGAUUCAGAUCCUGCUCUAGCUACCCAUGACUUUGAUGUCAUCGGCUAGACAUUGAUUUUCGUUCCAAGUUAUAUGUACUAAGGCGUUGUAUCGACGUCCUUUGUCUAUUUGAGACCUCGAUGUACUCACAUUAGCAAUAAUGAAUGCCUUGAGAAUUUUUUCGAAGUAAAACUAUUCUCCUCUUAUGGUUCAUAUUGAUUUACAAUCAAGAUGUACACUUACAUCGUCCUUAGAAACAUGGCAUAUUGUGCCGAUUUUGGUCCCUUCCUUUGAAGGUGACUCUUGGCACUACAUCCUCAAAGAGGAUCGCCCACGUGUUUCCGGUUAAGUCUUCUAUCCUAUAGCUGAUUUUUCAUCAUCAAUUGUUCAACUAGGCUCAUCCAAGCUCAGUGUGAUGUCUUAGAAUUGUCCGAAAUUAAGGAGAUAGUGGUUUUAAGUGUGCCUCGCACUACCGACCCUCCACGGACAUGCCUGGUCAUACUGACUUGGAGUUACCGAAAGCUUUUGAUUUUGGAUCCCCCUACGCUAUUAAACCAAUUGCCGUCUUGCAAAAGACGUUGAAGACUUAUCAAAGCUGGAAAAUUAUCAUCAUGAUCGGAUCCUCUAGGUCCUCUGAGUUAGUUUAUGUUCAUGUCAGGGAGCUUUUGCUAACUAGUCAUGGAGUUUACGACCUUAGAACGACCGAAAGGACUUGGUUUUGAUCAUACACACGUCACUUUUGGCUAAGACAAAAGCCUACACGCCACCUGCAAGCUUCACAGCUUCGCACAUGCCAAAUCUGCGAAAAACAGCAAUUUGUCCCUUCUGGACAGUCAACUUCGUUUGAGCUUUUUGAACAGCUUCGGACGAACCAGACAGUGAGCUUUAUAUCAUUGGAAAGCUCUACGAGUCUAGUU